CGGGGGGUAGAGCACUGUUUCGGCUAGGGGGUCAUCCCGACUUACCAACCCGAUGCAAACUACGAAUACCGAAGAAUGUUAUCACGGGAGACACACGGCGGGUGCUAACGUCCGUCGUGAAGAGGGAAACAACCCAGACCGCCAGCUAAGGUCCCAAAGUCAUGGUUAAGUGGGAAACGAUGUGGGAAGGCACAGACAGCCAGGAUGUUGGCUUAGAAGCAGCCAUCAUUUAAAGAAAGCGUAAUAGCUCACUGGUCGAGUCGGCCUGCGCGGAAGAUGUAACGGGGCUAAACCAUGCACCGAAGCUGCGGCAGCGACGCUUAGGCGUUGUUGGGUAGGGGAGCGUUCUGUAAGCCUGCGAAGGUGGCCUGUGAGGGCUGCUGGAGGUAUCAGAAGUGCGAAUGCUGACAUAAGUAACGAUAAAGCGGGUGAAAAGCCCGCUCGCCGGAAGACCAAGGGUUCCUGUCCAACGUUAAUCGGGGCAGGGUGAGUCGACCCCUAAGGCGAGGCCGAAAGGCGUAGUCGAUGGGAAACAGGUUAAU
rnacentral:rRNA from 1 species